GAUGAACGCUAGCGGCAGGCCUAAUACAUGCAAGUCGAACGGUGUCUUCGGACAUAGUGGCGCACGGGUGCGUAACACGUAUGCAACCUACCUUACAUUGGGGGAUAGCCUUUCGAAAGGGAGAUUAAUACCGCAUAAGACAGUAGCUGGGCAUCCAGCGGCUGUUAAAGAUUUAUCGAUGUAAGCUGGGCAUGCGUCCAAUUAGCUAGUUGGUGAGGUAACGGCUCACCAAGGCAAUGAUUGGUAGGGGAACUGAGAGGUCAAUCCCCCACACUGGCACUGAGAUACGGGCCAGACUCCUACGGGAGGCAGCAGUAGGGAAUAUUGGGCAAUGGACGCAAGUCUGACCCAGCCAUGCCGCGUGCAGGAUGAAGGUGUUAUGCGUUGUAAACUGCUUUUAUACAGGAAGAAACGACUCUUGCGAGAGGCAUUGACGGUACUGUAUGAAUAAGCACCGGCUAACUCCGUGCCAGCCGCCGCGGUAACAC
rnacentral:rRNA from 1 species